UACGUAGGGUGCAAGCGUUGCUCGGAAUUAUUGGGCGUAAAGGGUGGGCAGGCGGUCUUGUAUGUCUAAGGUGAAAUCCCAUGGCUUAACUGUGGAAGUGCCUUAGAAACGGCAAGACUAGAGUCCUAGAGGGGUUUGUGGAAUUCCCGGUGUAGCGGUGAAAUGCGUAGAGAUCGGGAGGAACACCAGCGGCGAAGGCGGCAAACUGGAUAGGCACUGACACUCAAGUACGAAAGCGUGGGGAUCAAACAGG
rnacentral:rRNA from 1 species